UACGUAGGGGGCAAGCGUUGUCCGGAAUCAUUGGGCGUAAAGAGCGUGUAGGCGGCCAGAUAAGUCCGCUGUGAAAACUCGAGGCUCAACCUCGAGAUGUCGGUGGAAACUGCCUGGCUAGAGUCCGGAAGAGGAGUGUGGAAUUCCUGGUGUAGCGGUGAAAUGCGCAGAUAUCAGGAAGAACACCUAUGGCGAAGGCAGCACUCUGGGACGGUACUGACGCUGAGACGCGAAAGCGUGGGGAGCGAACAGG
rnacentral:rRNA from 1 species